AAUUGACUGCUCAGUCACAUCAGUUUGUUGAUUUACUUGACUAUGGAACAUUCAGUUUGUGACCUUGUGGAAUCAUUCCGCCAGGACAGACCCAAGGUAUUGGCACUGGAAAAGUUACGAACAGUUAAUCCCAUGAUGUUUAACAAUGCCGAACGACACUGUAGACUGGUGCUGUUUCUCGAAAUGAUCCUGUUGGUGCUGUUUGUCUUCUGGGUCACACGAAACAGGGUGUGAAUUAAACACAUUUACUUAUGUAAUUUUUCAUUUUA